rnacentral:rRNA from 1 species
AUUAAACGCUGGCGGCAUGCCUUACACAUGCAAGUCGAACGGCAGCACGGGAGCAAUCCUGGUGGCGAGUGGCGAACGGGUGAGUAAAGUAUCGGAACGUGCCCAGUCGUGGGGGAUAACGUAGCGAAAGUUACGCUAAUACCGCAUACGGUCUAUGGAUGAAAGCGGGGGAUCGCAAGACCUCGCGCGAUUGGAGCGGCCGAUAUCAGAUUAGGUAGUUGGUGGGGUGAAGGCUCACCAAGCCGACGAUCUGUAGCUGGUCUGAGAGGACGACCAGCCACACUGGGACUGAGACACGGCCCAGACUCCUACGGGAGGCAGCAGUGGGGAAUUUUGGACAAUGGGCGAAAGCCUGAUCCAGCCAUGCCGCGUGCAGGAUGAAGGCCUUCGGGUUGUAAACUGCUUUUGUACGGAACGAAAAGGUUUGGGCUAAUAAGCUGAGCUCAUGACGGUACCGUAAGAAUAAGCACCGGCUAACUACGUGCCAGCAGCCGCAGUAA